rnacentral:misc_RNA from 1 species
AAAUGCGAUAAGUAAUGUGAAUUGCAGAAUUCAGUGAAUCAUCGAAUCUUUGAACGCACAUUGCGCCCGCCAGCACUCUGGCGGGCAUGCCUGUUCGAGCGUCAUUUCAACCCUCAGAACCCCUUGCGGGAUCUGGCGUUGGGGAUUGGCAUCCAGCCAGCCCCGAAAUCUAGUGGCGGUCCCUCCGCGACCUCCCCUGUGCAGUAGCGAUACCUCGCAGCGGGACAGCGGUCUGACCACGCCGUAAAACCCCCAACUUCUCAAGGUUGACCUCGAAUCAGGUAGGAAUACCCGCCGAACUUACGC